UAUAUAAAACAAAGAACUCUAAAGCUAAAGAUACACUCUAUUAUAAAAACACGAAUUCCAAAUGAAAUCCAUCGGAAAUGAUGAAGACAUUUUUGAUGAAUAUUCUGUUAGAAAUCCCAUAUAUACUAAUAGUACUACUCUGACAAAAACGUUCAUUAGAAAUUCACGUUUACCAUAUCAAAGACCACAAUAAGCCUUGAAAGCAUCACU
rnacentral:lncRNA from 1 species